rnacentral:rRNA from 1 species
GCGGCCACUGCUAUCAAGUUCCGACUAAGCCAUGCGAGUCAAGGUAUCGUAAGAUGCCGGUAAACUGCUCAGUAACACGUGGAUAAUCUAACCUUGAGUAAGGGAUAACUUCGGGAAACUGAAGGUAAUACCUUAUAAUUGCUUAAAACUGGAAUGUUUUUGCAAUAAAAGUUACGACGCUCAAGGAUGAGUCUGCGACCUAUCAGGUAGUAGGUGGUGUAAUGGACCACCUAGCCUCAGACGGGUACGGGCCCUGGGAGGGGUAGCCCGGAGAUGGACUCUGAGACAUAAGUCCAGGCCCUACGGGGCGCAGCAGGCGCGAACACUGUGCAAUGCGCGAAAGCGCGACACGGGGAGCUUGAGUGUCUUGGCAUAGCCAAGACUUUUCUCAUUCCUAAAAAGCAUGAGGAAUAAGUGCUGGGUAAGACGGGUGCCAGCCGCCGCGGUAACACCCGCAGCACGAGUAGUGGUCACUUUUAUUGAGCCUAAAGCGUUCGUAGCCGGUUUUGUAAAUCUUCAGAUAAAGCCUGAAGCUUAACUCCAGAAAGUCUGAAGAGACUGCAAGACUUGAGAUCGGGUGAGGUUAAACGUACUUUCAGGGUAGGGGUAAAAUCCUGUAAUCCCGGAAGGACGACCAGUAGCGAAAGCGUUUAACUAGAACGAAUCUGACGGUAAGGAACGAAGGCUAGGGUAGCAAACCGGAUUAGAUACCCGGGUAGUCCUAGCUGUAAACAUUGCCCAUUUGAUGUUGCUUUUCCGUUGAGGGAAGGCAGUGUCGGAGCGAAGGUGUUAAAUGGGCCGCUUGGGAAGUAUGGUCGCAAGACUGAAACUUAA